rnacentral:rRNA from 1 species
CCAAUAGCGUAUAUUAAAGUUGUUGCAGUUAAAAAGCUCGUAGUUGAAUUUCGGGAUCAAAUUGUCGGUCGUGCCUCGGUACGUACUGGCAUUAUUGGUUCCUCCCUUCUGAAGAACCGCGAUGUCAUUAAUUUGGUGUCGCGGGGAAUCAGGACUGUUACUUUGAAAAAAUUAGAGUGUUUAAAGCAGGCUCGCGCUUGAAUACAUUAGCAUGGAAUAAUGAAAUAGGACGUUUGAUUCUAUUUUGUUGGUUUCUAGGAUCGACGUAAUGAUUAAUAGGGAUAGUUGGGGGCAUUAGUAUUCAAUUGUCAGAGGUGAAAUUCUUGGAUUUAUUGAAGACUAACUACUGCGAAAGCAUUUGCCAAGGAUGUUUUCAUUAAUCAAGAACGAAAGUUAGGGGAUCGAAGACGAUCAGAUACCGUCGUAGUCUUAACCAUAAACUAUGCCGACUAGGGAUCGGAUGAUGUUAAUUUUUUAAUGACUCAUUCGGCGCCUUACG